rnacentral:rRNA from 1 species
AGUGAACGCUGGCGGUAGGCCUAACACAUGCAAGUCGAACGGCAGCACAGUAAGAGCUUGCUCUUACGGGUGGCGAGUGGCGGACGGGUGAGGAAUACAUCGGAAUCUACUUUUUCGUGGGGGAUAACGUAGGGAAACUUACGCUAAUACCGCAUACGACCUACGGGUGAAAGCAGGGGAUCUUCGGACCUUGCGCGAUUGAAUGAGCCGAUGUCGGAUUAGCUAGUUGGCGGGGUAAAGGCCCACCAAGGCGACGAUCCGUAGCUGGUCUGAGAGGAUGGACCGGCACACUGGAACUGAGACACGGUCCAGACUCCUACGGGAGGCAGCAGUGGGGAAUAUUGGACAAUGGGCGCAAGCCUGAUCCAGCCAUACCGCGUGGGUGAAGAAGGCCUUCGGGUUGUAAAGCCCUUUUGUUGGGAAAGAAAAGCAGCAGGUUAAUACCCCGCUGUUCUGACGGUACCCAAAGAAUAAGCACCGGCUAACUUCGUG